CAGACUGAACUGACCUUUAACCCCUGACUGAAGACCCCCAGAGCCCCUGAAGGGCUGGGGUCUCAGAGACUGAACUGACCUUUAACCCCUGACUGGGCCCCUGAAGGGCUGGGCCGAGCCAGGUGCUGUCCAGUUGCCCAGGGGCUGGAGAAGGACGGUCUCACCACACAGUUAACAGACACUCACUGUCACGUCUUUGAAAACAACAAAAAAAGAGUUUGCAUUGCAUUGCCUUACAACAGCUCCAGGAGCAGGUUCAGCGCCAGUCCGGACCCGCCGUCACUGCAUUGCUACCAAGUGACUUGCAUUUUCAAAAAAACAUUCAAGUGCUCGGAGUUCGGUACUGACAAUAGGAGUUACUGGCACCAGAGACACGGGCUGGAUUUGGAACGACACCGAAAUGACCGCCAGAGUAAACCCCCCGAGCCUGGUGGUCUGGAGUCCUGCAGUCCGCCCUGAGCUCACUCCCUCUGCGUGCCCGACGGUGAUGAAGCAGACCCAUCAUCAUCAUCCUCCUUCCGUACCGAGAGACCACAGAGACACCCCCCACAGAGUGGACUGGGGCCCCCAGCAGAGCUGGGAAUUAAGAGGACUGGAGACUGAUGGCCAGACUGGACUUCCAGCAGCAGUGAGGCUGGGGGGUUGGCUCUUCGGCAAUGUCUGCGUCUCGAACAGGGGCGAGCCUGUUUAAAUAUGACACUUUUAUACAACAUAACCUACAAGUACCCUGCUGUCCACAGACACACACAGGACAGGACCCACUUCAUUGAGCACACGGACAGGAUUGUAGACACUGUCACCAGGACUGGACCAGAUCAUACAGUAACCCCCCAGUCCAGAGAUCGCCGGUCCAGUCUGGGUCACACUGUACCCCUACAGUCCAGAGAUCACCGGUCCAGUCUGGGUCACACUGUACCCCUACAGUCCAGAGAUCACCGGUCCAGUCUGGGUCACACUGUACCCCUACAGUCCAGAGAUCGCCGGUCCAGUCUGUGGUCUUGUGUUCCUGCUCUCCUGUGGCCCUGCCGGCUCUUCAGAGGACAGCAGGCCUGUAGUUCCAGAGUGCGGACAGCUGGACUGGCCGUCCCACGAGUUGACCGGACUUCCCGGGAUGAGGCUCGGGCUCCCCUCGACUCUUGCCGUCCCCCCGGAGUCGAGCCCCGAAACUCCCCGCCGCACAGUCACAUGACCGCGACCCGCCGUGGCGGUCGUCGCCGGACAUGGCGGGGCCUCGGCGAAUCGGGGGGCAGUGACCGCACGCGCGCGCGGGGAGCCCCGGUCCGAUGCGGAGGCCGACGCCAAGGCGGCGGAGCAGGUUCCCGGGCCACCCGGUCCGCUCCAGGUUUUACCACGAGCAGCAGAGGGAUGGGGGUCGGGAGUCCGGAAAACCUGGAGCGGAUCAGGCCGCUGUGCGCUGGGAGCAGGCCCGAGGGGACAGGGGGGGACGGGGGGGACGGGGGUCGGCCCUCUACAGCUCCUUCUUGGCCUUGCGGCUGGGCUCCUCCGCGGUCAGCAGAGACAGGAUGUCCAGGAGCGCCUGGCUGAUGUGACCCCCGAACCGAUGGGCAUCCUGAGAGAGAGAGAGGGAGGGGAGAGAGAGGAGAGGAGAGAGAGAGGGUGGAGAGAGAGGAGGGACAGAGGAAAGAGAGGAGAGGAGAGAGGAGAGAGGGGAGAGAGAGAGGAGAGGAGAUAGGGGAGAGAGGGAGGAGAGGAGGGAGAGGGGAGAGAGAGGAGAGGAGAGAGAGGAGGGACAGAGGAAAGAGAGGAGAGGAGAGAGGGGAGAGAGGGAGGAGAGGAGAGAGAGGGUGGAGAGAGAGGAGGGACAGAGGAAAGAGAGGAGAGGAGAGAGGGGAGAGAGGGAGGAGAGAGAGAAGAGGAGGGAGAGAGAGAGUGGAGAAAGAGAGAGGAGAGGAGGGAGAGAGGGAGAGGAGAGACAGGGUGGGAGAGAGAGAGAGAGAGGGAGAGGGGAGAGAGAGAAGGAGAGG
rnacentral:lncRNA from 1 species